rnacentral:rRNA from 1 species
UACGUAGGGGGCAAGCGUUGUCCGGAAUCAUUGGGCGUAAAGAGCGUGUAGGCGGCCCGGUAAGUCCGCUGUGAAAGUCCAGGGCUCAACCUCGAGACGCCGAUGGAAACCAUGUGGCUAGAGUCCGGAAGAGGAGAGUGGAAUUCCGUGGUGUAGCGGUGAAAUGCGCAGAUAUCAGGAAGAACACCCGUGGCUAAGGCGGCUCUCUAGUACGGUACUGACGCUGAGACGCGAAAGCGUGGGGAGCGAACAGG